rnacentral:lncRNA from 1 species
UCGCAAGGCGGACACGAUGCGAUAUGCGUGAUAGUGGAUCGACUGACGAAGUCGGCUCAUUUCUUGCCGAUUCAUNAAAGGUUCGAGGUGAUGUUGAGAACGGUAAAGCCGAAGAUUUUGGCGUUGGAGCUGAUGGCGCGCUCCGAUUUCGAAAUCGAUGGUGUGUGCCAAAGGACGAUGAGUUACGAAGGGCGGUUAUGCAAGAGG